CAGAGGUGAUACAGCUUUUGUGAUACAGGAAAACUCAUUGUUUAGUAUCUUAAUCAUUGGAAACUUGUGACUUUUUAAACAAUUAGCACUGAGGUAUUCCUUUGUGUUAUUUACAAAGGAACCAAAACCGUUAUGUCUGCUUUACGUUCUUUAGAAAACAGAAGAUUGAGAAGGGUCUGACCAUCUUGUUUGUCUUUGUAUGUAUAUAACUUAUUGCAAAUGAGAC
rnacentral:lncRNA from 1 species